rnacentral:rRNA from 1 species
GACGAACGCUGGCGGCGUGCUUAACACAUGCAAGUCGAGCGGUAAGGCCCUUUCGGGGGUACACGAGCGGCGAACGGGUGAGUAACACGUGGGUGACCUGCCCUCAGCUCUGGGAUAAGCCUGGGAAACCGGGUCUAAUACUGGAUAUGACUCCAUGACGCAUGUUGUGGGGUGGAAAGCCUUGUGCGGCUGAGGAUGGGCCCGCGGCCUAUCAGCUUGUUGGUGGGGUGAGGCCUACCAAGGCGACGACGGGUAGCCGGCCUGAGAGGGCGACCGGCCACACUGGGACUGAGACACGGCCCAGACUCCUACGGGAGGCAGCAGUGGGGAAUCUUGCGCAAUGGGCGAAAGCCUGACGCAGCGACGCCGCGUGAGGGAUGAUGGCCUGG